rnacentral:rRNA from 1 species
UACGUAGGGCGCAAGCGUUAUCCGGAAUUAUUGGGCGUAAAGAGCUCGUAGGCGGUUUGUCGCGUCUGCCGUGAAAAGUCCGGGGGCUCAACUCCGGAUCUGCGGUGGGUACGGGCAGACUAGAGUGAUGUAGGGGAGACUGGAAUUCCUGGUGUAGCGGUGAAAUGCGCAGAUAUCAGGAGGAACACCGAUGGCGAAGGCAGGUCUCUGGGCAUUAACUGACGCUGAGGAGCGAAGGCGUGGGAGCGAACGGG